rnacentral:piRNA from 1 species
UGUGCUAGGGCAUAAGGAAGGAAUUCCAGA